rnacentral:rRNA from 1 species
UAAAGCUCUGUUGUAAGAGAAGAACGUGUGUGAGAGUGGAAAGUUCACACAGUGACGGUAACUUACCAGAAAGGGACGGCUAACUACGUGCCAGCAGCCGCGGUAAUACGUAGGUCCCGAGCGUUGUCCGGAUUUAUUGGGCGUAAAGCGAGCGCAGGCGGUUUAAUAAGUCUGAAGUUAAAGGCAGUGGCUUAACCAUUGUUCGCUUUGGAAACUGUUAGACUUGAGUGCAGAAGGGGAGAGUGGAAUUCCAUGUGUAGCGGUGAAAUGCGUAGA